GACUGGGUCCCACGCGGGCGGUCCCCGUGAACCCCGUCAGGCCCGGGAGGGAGCAGCGGUAAGCGGAUCGGCCGUGGCGCCGUGGGUCGGCCUAGUCGGU
rnacentral:SRP_RNA from 1 species